rnacentral:rRNA from 1 species
UACGAGGGGGGCAAAUGUUGUUCGGAAUCACUGGGCGUAAAGGGAGCGUAGGCGGGCUUCUAAGUUAGGUGUUUAAUCCCGGGGCCCAACCCCGGUCGUGCACCUAAAACUGGGAGUCUUGAAUAGUGGAGAGGUCAGUGGAAUUGGGGGUGUAGCGGUGGAAUGCGUAGAGAUCCCCAAGAACACCAGUUGCGAAGGCGGCUGACUGGACACAUAUUGACGCUGAGGCUCGAAAGCAUGGGGAGCAAACAGG